ACGUAGUAGGCUAUGGCUAAACAUUUUAUUUCGGGACUAAUCGGAUGUUAGUCUGGGACGUUAUUGCAUUGCGAUCAACUCCACAACAAGUUUAAUACCCUAAAAUUUGAGAGGGGUCUGGCUGCAGACAUCCACCCACACGCUCCAAACAUCCACCCACAGGCACUUCCGCUGCAGACAGAAACAUCCACCCACACGCCGGAAAUUGCGUGCUGGUGGAUGUCUGGAGCGCGAUUUGCACAUUAUUCAACAGCGCCCCCUCGGGUCACACUUUUCGGUGGGUCGCAGAAUUCGGUGUAACAACGGGACUCACUGCUCGAAGAUGUGACGUUCGGCUCAGCUGCACUUGGAGGUUAUGAUGCAUCACUCGAUUUUUACGGAUGAUUCAAAGCCAGAAGUCAAACGCUGCACAACUUGCUGCACACUUUUCCACUGCCCCCUAUGCCCAACUUUCAAACCAACCAUCAACACGAAGCUUCAGUGCCACCUGGAAUCCCACAUAAAACAUUCCAUUACAUUUAAAGACAAAAAGAUAUGCAGGUGCAACCUCAGCUGCAGGGAUGGGGGACAUUAUCAUUGCCCCCUUUGUGGCAAAACGAUCAUCAGGAAGUCGGUUAUGGAUCUACACCUGAAGUCCUGCACAAACACGCAAGACAGUCCCUCCACCUCCGCUGCCGUCCAUACAUCCAAUCAAAACCCCAUCACAGUCAAGACAGCCACCACCUCUCCAGCUCCGACUGCUCCUUCUCCCCAAGCUUCAACUGUUGUGUCUUCCUCUGCCGUCUCUGCUGCCCAGAGUAAAAGUA